rnacentral:rRNA from 1 species
GACGAACGCUGGCGGCGUGGAUUAGGCAUGCAAGUCGGACGGUAGGGCUUUAUCGUAAGAUAGAGUUUGAGAGUGGCGAACGGGUGAGUAACACGUAGGAAUCUACCCUUAAGACGGGGACAACCCAGGGAAACUUGGGCUAAUACCGGAUGAGAGUGCGAGAGAUUGCAUUUAAAAGGAUGGCGAAAGUUGUCGCUUAGGGAUGAGCCUGCGGUCUAUUAGUUAGUUGGUGAGGUAAGAGCUCACCAAGGCGAUGAUAGAUAGGCGGCCUUAACGGGUGGUCGCCCACACUGGGAUUGAGAUACGGCCCAGACUCCUACGGGAGGCAGCAGUGGGGGAUUUUGGACAAUGGGCGAAAGCCUGAUCCAGCGACGCCGCGUGGAGGACGAAGCCCUUCGGGGUGUAAACUCCUUUUCUCAGGGAAAAGGAUGAUGGUACCUGAGGAAUAAGCCCCGGCUAACUACGUG